GGUUAAGCGACUAAGCGUACACGGUGGAUGCCCUGGCAGUCAGAGGCGAUGAAGGACGUGCUAAUCUGCGAUAAGCGUCGGUAAGGUGAUAUGAACCGUUAUAACCGGCGAUUUCCGAAUGGGGAAACCCAGUGUGUUUCGACACACUAUCAUUAACUGAAUCCAUAGGUUAAUGAGGCGAACCGGGGGAACUGAAACAUCUAAGUACCCCGAGGAAAAGAAAUCAACCGAGAUUCCCCCAGUAGCGGCGAGCGAACGGGGAGGAGCCCAGAGCCUGAAUCAGUGUGUGUGUUAGUGGAAGCGUCUGGAAAGGCGCGCGAUACAGGGUGACAGCCCCGUACACAAAAAUGCACAUGCUGUGAGCUCGAUGAGUAGGGCGGGACACGUGGUAUCCUGUCUGAAUAUGGGGGGACCAUCCUCCAAGGCUAAAUACUCCUGACUGACCGAUAGUGAACCAGUACCGUGAGGGAAAGGCGAAAAGAACCCCGGCGAGGGGAGUGAAAAAGAACCUGAAACCGUGUACGUACAAGCAGUGGGAGCACGCUUAGGCGUGUGACUGCGUACCUUUUGUAUAAUGGGUCAGCGACUUAUAUUCUGUAGCAAGGUUAACCGAAUAGGGGAGCCGAAGGGAAACCGAGUCUUAACUGGGCGUUAAGUUGCAGGGUAUAGACCCGAAACCCGGUGAUCUAGCCAUGGGCAGGUUGAAGGUUGGGUAACACUAACUGGAGGACCGAACCGACUAAUGUUGAAAAAUUAGCGGAUGACUUGUGGCUGGGGGUGAAAGGCCAAUCAAACCGGGAGAUAGCUGGUUCUCCCCGAAAGCUAUUUAGGUAGCGCCUCGUGAAUUCAUCUCCGGGGGUAGAGCACUGUUUCGGCAAGGGGGUCAUCCCGACUUACCAACCCGAUGCAAACUGCGAAUACCGGAGAAUGUUAUCACGGGAGACACACGGCGGGUGCUAACGUCCGUCGUGAAGAGGGAAACAACCCAGACCGCCAGCUAAGGUCCCAAAGUCAUGGUUAAGUGGGAAACGAUGUGGGAAGGCCCAGACAGCCAGGAUGUUGGCUUAGAAGCAGCCAUCAUUUAAAGAAAGCGUAAUAGCUCACUGGUCGAGUCGGCCUGCGCGGAAGAUGUAACGGGGCUAAACCAUGCACCGAAGCUGCGGCAGCGACACUGUGUGUUGUUGGGUAGGGGAGCGUUCUGUAAGCCUGUGAAGGUGUACUGUGAGGUAUGCUGGAGGUAUCAGAAGUGCGAAUGCUGACAUAAGUAACGAUAAAGCGGGUGAAAAGCCCGCUCGCCGGAAGACCAAGGGUUCCUGUCCAACGUUAAUCGGGGCAGGGUGAGUCGACCCCUAAGGCGAGGCCGAAAGGCGUAGUCGAUGGGAAACAGGUUAAUAUUCCUGUACUUGGUGUUACUGCGAAGGGGGGACGGAGAAGGCUAUGUUGGCCGGGCGACGGUUGUCCCGGUUUAAGCGUGUAGGCUGGUUUUCCAGGCAAAUCCGGAAAAUCAAGGCUGAGGCGUGAUGACGAGGCACUACGGUGCUGAAGCAACAAAUGCCCUGCUUCCAGGAAAAGCCUCUAAGCAUCAGGUAACAUCAAAUCGUACCCCAAACCGACACAGGUGGUCAGGUAGAGAAUACCAAGGCGCUUGAGAGAACUCGGGUGAAGGAACUAGGCAAAAUGGUGCCGUAACUUCGGGAGAAGGCACGCUGAUAUGUAGGUGAAGCGACUUGCUCGUGGAGCUGAAAUCAGUCGAAGAUACCAGCUGGCUGCAACUGUUUAUUAAAAACACAGCACUGUGCAAACACGAAAGUGGACGUAUACGGUGUGACGCCUGCCCGGUGCCGGAAGGUUAAUUGAUGGGGUUAGCGCAAGCGAAGCUCUUGAUCGAAGCCCCGGUAAACGGCGGCCGUAACUAUAACGGUCCUAAGGUAGCGAAAUUCCUUGUCGGGUAAGUUCCGACCUGCACGAAUGGCGUAAUGAUGGCCAGGCUGUCUCCACCCGAGACUCAGUGAAAUUGAACUCGCUGUGAAGAUGCAGUGUACCCGCGGCAAGACGGAAAGACCCCGUGAACCUUUACUAUAGCUUGACACUGAACAUUGAGCCUUGAUGUGUAGGAUAGGUGGGAGGCUUAGAAGUGUGGACGCCAGUCUGCAUGGAGCCGACCUUGAAAUACCACCCUUUAAUGUUUGAUGUUCUAACGUUGACCCGUAAUCCGGGUUGCGGACAGUGUCUGGUGGGUAGUUUGACUGGGGCGGUCUCCUCCUAAAGAGUAACGGAGGAGCACGAAGGUUGGCUAAUUCUGGUCGGACAUCAGGAGGUUAGUGCAAUGGCAUAAGCCAGCUUGACUGCGAGCGUGACGGCGCGAGCAGGUGCGAAAGCAGGUCAUAGUGAUCCGGUGGUUCUGAAUGGAAGGGCCAUCGCUCAACGGAUAAAAGGUACUCCGGGGAUAACAGGCUGAUACCGCCCAAGAGUUCAUAUCGACGGCGGUGUUUGGCACCUCGAUGUCGGCUCAUCACAUCCUGGGGCUGAAGUAGGUCCCAAGGGUAUGGCUGUUCGCCAUUUAAAGUGGUACGCGAGCUGGGUUUAGAACGUCGUGAGACAGUUCGGUCCCUAUCUGCCGUGGGCGCUGGAGAACUGAGGGGGGCUGCUCCUAGUACGAGAGGACCGGAGUGGACGCAUCACUGGUGUUCGGGUUGUCAUGCCAAUGGCACUGCCCGGUAGCUAAAUGCGGAAGAGAUAAGUGCUGAAAGCAUCUAAGCACGAAACUUGCCCCGAGAUGAGUUCUCCCUGACCCUUUAAGGGUCCUGAAGGAACGUUGAAGACGACGACGUUGAUAGGCCGGGUGUGUAAGCGCAGCGAUGCGUUGAGCUAACCGGUACUAAUGAACCGUGAGGCUUAACCUU
rnacentral:rRNA from 1 species